GGAUUGCCCUAGUAACGGCGAGUGAAGCGGCAACAGCUCAAAUUUGAAAUCUGGCCUCCUCCGGGGGUCCGAGUUGUAAUUUGCAGAGGGUGCUUUGGCUUUGGCGGCGGUCUAAGUUCCUUGGAACAGGACAUCGCAGAGGGUGAGAAUCCCGUACGUGGGCGCCUGCCACUGCCGUGUAAAGCCCCUUCGACGAGUCGAGUUGUUUGGGAAUGCAGCUCUAAAUGGGAGGUAAAUUUCUUCUAAAGCUAAAUACCGGCCAGAGACCGAUAGCGCACAAGUAGAGUGAUCGAAAGAUGAAAAGUACUUUGGAAAGAGAGUAAAAUAGCACGUGAAAUUGUUGUAGAGGAAGCGCUUGCAGCCAGACUUCCCCGUAGUCGCUCACCCGGGCUCCUGCCCGGGGCACUCUUCUGCGGGGAGGCCAGCAUCAGUUUGGGCGGUCGGAUAAAGGCCUCUGUCACGUAUCUCCCUCCGGGGAGACCUUAUAGGGGAGGCGCAAUGCGACCAGCCCGGACUGAGGUCCGCGCAUCUGCCAGGAUGCUGGCGUAAUGGCUGUAAGCGGCCCGUCUUGAAACACGGACCAAGGAGUCUAACAUCUAUGCGAGUGUUUGGGUGUCAAGCCCGGGCGCGCAAUGAAAGUGAACGGAGGUGGGAACCCUCGGGUGCACCAUCGACCGAUCCUGAUGUCUUCGGAUGGAUUUGAGUAAGAGCAUAGCUGUUGGGACCCGAAAGAUGGUGAACUAUGCUUGAAUAGGGUGAAGCCAGAGGAAACUCUGGUGGAGGCUCGCAGCGGUUCUGACGUGCAAAUCGAUCGUCAAAUUUGGGCAUAGGGGCGAAAGACUAUC
rnacentral:rRNA from 1 species